UACGUAGGGUGCGAGCGUUGUCCGGAAUUAUUGGGCGUAAAGAGCUUGUAGGCGGUUUGUCGCGUCUGCUGUGAAAUCUCAAGGCUCAACCUUGAGCUUGCAGUGGGUACGGGCAGACUAGAGUGUGGUAGGGGAGACUGGAAUUCCUGGUGUAGCGGUGAAAUGCGCAGAUAUCAGGAGGAACACCUGUGGCGAAAGCGGCUCACUGGACCAUAACUGACGCUGAUGCACGAAAGCUAGGGGAGCAAACAGG
rnacentral:rRNA from 1 species